rnacentral:rRNA from 1 species
GACGAACGCUGGCGGCGCGCUUAACACAUGCAAGUCGAACGGAAAGGCCUGCUUUCCCUUGUGGAUUGCGGGUACUCGAGUGGCGAACGGGUGAGUAACACGUGAGUGAUCUGCCCCCAACUUGGGUAUAAGCCUGGGAAACUGGGUCUAAUUCCCGAUAGGACUGCAGGGUGGUGCCUGUGGUGGAAAACGAUUUUCUAGUGGUUGGGGAUGAGCUCGCGGCCUAUCAGCUUGUUGGUGGGGUAAUGGCCUACCAAGGCGGCGACGGGUAGCCGGCCUGGGAGGGUGGACGGCCAAAUUGGGACUGAGAUACGGCCCAGACUCCUACGGGAGGCAGCAGUGGGGAAUAUUGGACAAUGGGCGGAAGCCUGAUGCAGCGACGCCGCGUGGGGGAUGACGGCCUUCGGGUGGUAAACUCCUUUCGACCGCGAGGAAGCCACCUGGUUGGAAGGGUGGUGACGGUAGUGGUAGAAGAAGCACCGGCUAACUACGUG